UACGGGGGGGGCAAGCGUUGUUCGGAAUUACUGGGCGUAAAGGGCUCGUAGGUGGCCAACUAAGUCAGACGUGAAAUCCCUCGGCUUAACCGGGGAACUGCGUCUGAUACUGGAUGGCUUGAGUUUGGGAGAGGGACGCGGAAUUCCAGGUGUAGAGGUGAAAUUCGUAGAUAUCGGGAGGAACACCGGUGGCGAAGGCGGCGACCUGGACAGUAACUGACGCUGAGACGCGAAAGCGUGGGUAGCAAACAGG
rnacentral:rRNA from 1 species